UAAGUAUAGGUUCCACCUAGAGACGCAGAACUAGCCAGCGGCCGAUCCUGCUCCGGGACCCUGCAGGCCCCAGCUCUAUGGAAUCCUGUCGCACACGGGAUGGACGUGGGCUAGAGGCGGAGGAAGGGGAGGAAGUGAAGAUCUUCAGACUAAGAUGGAUGAAGCUGAAUUCAGAUCUCAGCUCCAACCAGCGGUUCAGAUCCGCCUUCAUUCUGACUGCCCUGGAGGCAAAGCCAGCCAAUGCCCUUCUCCUGCUUUCCCGGGUCACCACCUGGGCUCUCCUGAAGGGAUUCUGCUGAUAAUCAAGAAGGAGAAGCAGAAAUGAGAAGGUUGGAGAAAUCCGAAGAGGCAGCUAGGGAGAGUGGGAGUUCUGGGGGCUGAGAAGUCCAAGAUCAAGGUGCUGCCAAUUUGGUUCCUGGUGAAUGAGCAAACAGCACAGAAAAAGAAACAGCAGUAUAUGUGGAAGAAAGCAAGAAAAAUCAACUGGCCUGGAACCUAAGACUUGUCCAAAGAUGUCACAGAGAGUAAAAUGAGAAAAAUCCAGGCAGAAGGCUAACAAGCCCUGAGAUGAAUGAUGCUCUUCCCAAGGAAGGCAGAGGAGGCGACAGUCCAUUUGCGUUCUCUCCUCUGCAAGUACAGGAUCUCGUUUGAUUCUCAAAACCACCCUAGAGGAGACAGGAGGCACCUGAGGCCCAGAGACGUGAAGCCACCUGUCCAAGGCCAUACAGCAGAUAACUUAUUCUGGAGGAAGACACCUGCCAUGCCGUGAGGACAGUCAAGCAGUUCUGUGGAGAGAUCCAUGUGGUGAGAAACAGGGGCCUCCUGUCAACAGGAAGAACAACCUGGCAGGCCUGUCUUGGAUUCAGAGCCUCCAGCCCCAGUCGAGCCUUCAGAUAACUGCACCCUUGGCUGUCAUCUCAACUGCAAUCUCACGACAGACCCUGAGCUGGAACUACUCUGUUUACCAAUGCCUGGCCCACAGAAAGACUAUGAGAUAAAACAAGUAUAUUGUUUUUAGAAGAUAUGUUUUGGAGUAAUUUAUUAUGCUACAAUAGAUAAUACAGAAUUUGGUGAUUUUAUGAUUCUCAACUCCUGGCCAAAGCAAAGCACACAACAAGUCUCAAAGAAAAGUCUCACAAGUGGAAUUGAAAGUACAAAGCUGGCCAGACAAGCUUGUGCAGACAUGUAUGUGGUGGAGUUGAAAAUCACACACUACGACUCACACAAGUGAGUAAAACCUGCGUCUUUCUUAAUUUUUCUUGUACUCUUCUCAUCUAGAUCUAAUGAGAUACUUCCUGCUGUUGACAGGCAAUAAAUGAAUGAACGACAAAAACAAAACAAAAAGAAAAGAAACAAAACAGAAAGAAAAGAAACAAAACAGAAAGAAAAGAAAGAAACAAAACAGAAAGAAAGAAAAGAAAUCUUUAACUUGCCCACUACAGGUU
rnacentral:lncRNA from 10 species